rfam:Camelus ferus unplaced genomic scaffold scaffold1033, whole genome shotgun sequence.
AGUGGUAUAGCUCAGUGGUAGAGCCAGUGCUUAGCAUGCAUGAGGUCCUGGGUUCAAUCUCCAGUACCUCCA